GCCUAUCUGCUUUGCCAAUGAAAUCUUUUCUGUGUUGAUUUUUGGAGUCAGUUUCAGCCAUGCUGCCUUUUUCUUUCCUCAGACAGACAUCCCAUAAUACCUGUUUUGAUUCUCUACUCCAGCAACUAAGGGCCUGGCUACAUAUGACAUGCAUCACAUCAAAAGCAGCCACGUAAAACGAGGUCUGAUGACUGAGAUGUAAAGCUAGAGGCAAACGCACAAUAAUGUCCAACCUACAAAAGGGACUGAGGAUUCUACUACCAAUGACCAGGGGAUGGAGAACAAGCAGUGUAUGCACCAGAUAAUGGCAACAAGCGAGGAGAAAGUAAGCCUCCUCAUUAUUUGGGUCCCACUCCUGGGUCUUUGUCUGAAGCUGUACAAGUUCAUAUGUUGUCUCCAAAGUAUCCAUCUCGGGUUUGGGAAAGCCGGGA